UACGUAGGCAGCGAGCGUUGUUCGGAAUUACUGGGCGUAAAGAGUGUGUAGGCGGUGCUCUAAGUUCGGUGUGAAAUCUCCUGCUCAACUGGGAGGUGCGCCGAAACUGGAGUGCUUGAGCGUGGGAGAGGAAGCGGAAUUCCUGGUGUAGCGGUGAAAUGCGUAGAUAUCAGGAGGAACACCUGUGGUGUAGACGCUUUCUGGACCAUAGCUGACGCUGAGACACGAAAGCGUGGUAGCAAACAGG
rnacentral:rRNA from 1 species